AAGCCUGAUCCAGCAAUGCCGCGUGUGUGAAGAAGGCCUUCGGGUUGUAAAGCACUUUUGUCCGGAAAGAAAUCCUUGGCUCUAAUACAGUCGGGGGAUGACGGUACCGGAAGAAUAAGCACCGGCUAACUACGUGCCAGCAGCCGCGGUAAUACGUAGGGUGCGAGCGUUAAUCGGAAUUACUGGGCGUAAAGCGUGCGCAGGCGGUUUGCUAAGACCGAUGUGAAAUCCCCGGGCUCAACCUGGGAACUGCAUUGGUGACUGGCAGGCUAGAGUAUGGCAGAGGGGGGUAGAAUUCCACGUGUAGCAGUGAAAUGCGUAGAGAUGUGGAGGAAUACCGAUGGCGAAGGCAGCCCCCUGGGCCAAUACUGACGCUCAUGCACGAAAGCGUGGGGAGCAAACAGGAUUAGAUACCCUGGUAGUCCACGCCCUAAACGAUGUCAACUAGUUGUUGGGGAUUCAUUUCCUUAGUAACGUAGCUAACGCGUGAAGUUGACCGCCUGGGGAGUACGGUCGCAAGAUUAAAACUCAAAGGAAUUGACGGGGACCCGCACAAGCGGUGGAUGAUGUGGAUUAAAUUCGAUGCAACGCGAAAAACCUUACCUACCCUUGACAUGGUCGGAAUCCUG
rnacentral:rRNA from 1 species